AUGAACAUGCCUACAACGUUAAUGCACUAGAUCCCAUUAUAAAUCCACAGUUAAGUGCACUUUGGCUACAAUAAUACUGUUAUGGGUGACCUUCCAGGAAUUCCUAGUGUUUUACAUG
rfam:Picea glauca, whole genome shotgun sequence.